UCACCUCCACACUGCAGCCAAGGGAGGCCCGCCCUAGUGUGGGCUGCUGCCUAUGGCCUUGGGUAGGCAUGAGCAGAGGGGCCACGGGUUGCCCGUCCUCCCCCAUCCUGCUGGGGCCUCCCUCCCCCUUCACUGAGCCCCGGUUAAUUAUAACUCUGACCUAAGUGCCCUGUGACGUCGCGCCCAGGCCAGCCCUGCCCAGAAGACCCAGCAACCAGGUCCAUGUCUCAGCCAUGCUCCCCACGGAAGUGCCCCAAUCCCACCCAGGCCCCUCAGCAUUGCUUCUGCUGCAGCUGCUGCUGCCCCCGACAUCUGCCUUUUUCCCCAACAUCUGGAGCCUGCUGGCUGCCCCUGGCUCCAUCACCCACCAAGACCUGACUGAGGAGGCAGCGCUCAACGUCACCCUGCAGCUGUUCCUGGAGCAGCCUCCCCCAGGCCGCCCCCCUCUUCGUCUUGAGGACUUCCUGGGUCGAACACUCCUUGCCGAUGACCUCUUUGCUGCCUACUUUGGACCUGGGUCUCCUUCCCGGCGGUUCCGAGCAGCCUUAGGUGAGGUGUCUCGUGCCAAUGCAGCCCAGGACUUCCUACCAACUUCCAAAAAUGACCCCGACCUGCACUUUGAUGCUGAGCGACUGGGUCAGGGACGUGCGCGCCUGGUAGGGGCUCUGCGGGAGACCCUGGUGGCAGCCAGAGCCCUUGACCACACCCUGGCCCGCCAGCGUCUCGGGGCUGCGCUCCAUGCCCUGCAGGAUUUCUACAGUCAUAGCAAUUGGGUGGAGCUGGGCGAGCAGCAGCCACACCCUCACCUCCUCUGGCCAAGACAGGAGCUCCGAAACCUGGCACAAGUGAGCGAUCCUACCUGCUCCGAUUGCAAGGAGUUGAGCUGCCCCGGGAAUUGGCUGGGCUUCACCCUCCUCACCUCUGGCUACUUUGGAACUCAUCCCCCCAAGCCUCCAGGGAAAUGUAGCCAUGGGGGCCAUUUUGACUGGAGCAGCUCCCAGCCACCUCGGGGAGGCAUCAACAAGGACAGCACAUCCCCAGGCUUCUCUCCUCACCACAUGCUGCACCUCCAGGCUGCAAAACUGGCCCUUCUAGCCUCCAUCCAGGCCUUCAGCCUUCUGCGAAGCCGCCUGGGAGACAGGGACUUUUCCAGGCUGCUGGACAUCACCCCAGCCUUCAGCCUGAGCUUUGUCUUGGACACCACGGGCAGCAUGGGUGAGGAGAUCAAUGCUGCCAAAAUCCAGGCUCGCCACAUUGUGGAGCAGCGGAGGGGCAGCCCCAUGGAGCCUGUCCACUAUGUCCUGGUGCCUUUUCAUGACCCAGGGUUUGGCCCUGUGUUUACAACCAGUGACCCUGACAGCUUCUGGCAACAGCUUAAUGAGAUCCAUGCCUUGGGGGGUGGAGAUGAGCCUGAGAUGUGCCUGUCAGCCCUGCAGCUAGCCCUGCUGCAUACACCGCCACUCUCAGACAUCUUUGUCUUCACGGAUGCCUCCCCCAAGGAUGCCUUUCUCACCAACCAGGUUGAAUCCCUGACUCAGGAGCGGCGCUGCCGGGUAACAUUCCUGGUGACUGAAGACCCAUCAAGGGUUCAGGGCCGAGCUCGGCGUGAGGUCUUGUCCCCUCUGCGUUUUGAGCCAUACAAAGCAGUGGCCCUGGCCUCAGGAGGAGAGGUGAUUUUCACCAAAAAUCGGCACAUUCAGGACGUGGCAACCAUUGUUGGGGAGAGCAUGGCUGCCCUGGUGACUCUUCCCCUGGACCCUCCUGUUGUGCUGCCUGGGCAGCCACUUGUGUUCAGUGUGGAUGGGCUGCUCCAGAGGAUCACAGUCCGGAUCCACGGAGACAUCAGCAGCUUCUGGAUCAAGAACCCUGCAGGGGUCUCCCAGGGCCAGGAAGAAGGCAUGGGUCCUCUGGGUCACACUCGCCGCUUUGGGCAGUUCUGGAUGGUGACCAUGGAUGACCCUCUGCAGACAGGAACCUGGGAGAUCCAGGUCACAGCUGAGGGCACCCCCGGGGUGAGAGUGCAAGCCCAGACCUCCCUGGACUUCCUCUUCCACUUUGGGAUCCCCAUGGAGGACGGACCCCACCCCGGCCUCUACCCCGUGACUCAGCCAGUUGCAGGUCUACAGACCCAGCUGCUGGUAGAAGUGACAGGGCUGGGUUCCAGAGCCAGUCCCGGGGAUCCUCAGCCGCAUUUCUCCCACGUCAUCCUUCGAGGGGUCCCAGAGGGUGCCGAACUAGGCCAGGUACCCUUGGAGCCCGUGGGACCCCCAGAGCGAGGUCUCCUCGCAGCCUCGCUGCCGGCCACGCUGCUGUCCACCCCUAGACCCUUCUCCCUGGAGCUGAUUGGCCAGGACGGAGUGGGGCGGCGCCUGCACAGGGCUGCCCCUCAGCCUAGCACUGUGGUCCCUGUCCUUCUGGAGCUUACCAGUCCCUCGGGUUUCUUGGCCCCGGGCAGCAAGGUCCCUCUCAGUCUCCGCGUCGCCAGCUUCUCGGGCCCUCAGGAUCUUGACCUUAGGACAUCCGUAAACCCCAGCUUCUCCCUCACUUCCAACCUCUCCAGGGCUCACCUGGAACUGAAUGAGUCCGCCUGGGGCCGCCUGUGGCUGGAGGUCCCAGACUCAGCGCCCCCGGAUUCCGUGGUGAUGGUGACUGUGACUGCCGCGGGACGAGAAGCCAGCCCAGUGCCCCCGACUCAUGCUUUCCUCCGGCUCCUGGUGCUGGCCCCAGCCGGGCAGGACCAGCUCGCUGCCCCUACCCACUCACAUGACCCUAUCUUCACCACGGCCACCCCUGCCUUUUGCCCCUUCACAAUGGUGACUCAAGGCAGGGCUGGGGCAGGGCUGUCGGGCAGCCCGUGGUGGGGCACAAUUGGAGGGGUGCUGCUUCUGCUAGGCCUGGACUCCUGGUGACACAACAGGCUCUACAGGGAUGGGUCUCCAGAACUAUUUUCAACCUGCCCCACUGAGCCUGCAUCCUCCGCAGCUUGGAAAGGCAAACACAGAGGCCGACUCUUAUGCUACAGCAGGGCUCUGGCUCAUGGCCCGUCCUCUCCCCCCAAUAUGGGUUCACUGUGUGGUCACUGAGUGUGAGCCCAGACUGGCCACUGAGGACCUGAAGGGCAAGAGGAGGCAGGCGAGAACACUGUGGGCCCUCAACUUGAGUGGAAAUAUAAAAGGCAGAUCUAUGGAGAAAGACUUCCCCUGGGACCUCUUGCUUGGCUGAUACUCACCCAAAGGAAGAAGCUCUGGGCCCCUGGGUCUUGGCGGCCUGUCCCCAGCGGCAGCAGCAGGACCGUGUAGGGAGCCUGCACCAAGGGCAGUCCGCCAGGGCCCUGGCUCCCCAUGGCUCUGAGGUGGGAAGAGUGGAGCCACUCCCACUGGUGUAGCCUGGACUGGUCCCUCCCCUCCACCCCUGCCUUGCACCCAUCCUGCUUCUGUCAGCCUCUCAGGCCCCUUCCUGCUGUGUCUGUCUGAGGCUGGAUGUUCCCACUUGAGAAGAGAGACCAUCUCCCGUGGGCCUCUCUGUCUUCCCUCUAAUUUGUUUUUGUAGGGCCUCUCUGAAGUGGUUGAUUCUCAUGAAGUCUCCUUGGGUAGAAUCCGAGGGUCUUCCUACAGCAAUGACACUAUUUUUACUGAGGCAGGGCAGGUUCCCCUGUGGAUUCCUGCUCUGUGUUUCAGCUCUUUCCUAGUCUCUUUGUUUUGGCUGGCCUAAAGAAACAAUACCUUUCUCCAAAAUAAACUUUAUUCCUAAUAUGAAACAAAA